rnacentral:sRNA from 1 species
CGCUUUCAGCCGACCCACUUCUCCUCCCAUGGGACGUCUGUAAAAACAGCGGCACUCCUCCUCCCAGUCGCUGUUCGAUCUUCAGAAAGCCUGCCGCACCUCCUCCCGCGGCAGGCUUUUUUG